rfam:Ammonifex degensii KC4, complete genome.
CAACCUGUACCGAGAGGUGCGGCUGAACCGGCAGGAGUCAGCAGACGCCAUAGUACUCCCUUUUAAGAUGUCAAAGGGGGGAAGGGC